GUCAUACCAACAAAAAAACCGUAAACACAAGAAUUUUCUUCUAAAGACAUGGGGAACAAAAAAGUCAUGAGCUUGUUCUUUGUAUUGUCUAUGAUUUUUAUGGUGUUCUUAGCUUCCGUUAAUGCAGGAUGUUCCGCUGGUGUUGGCCAGCCUUGUGGAAUUUUGCCAUGGGUGUUCAGAGGAUGCUGUGGUGAUAACGUUCAUUGCGACAGCUUCUGGUCGGGGAUCUGCAUCGAUUGUGAUCAAGUGACUUGCUCCGAUAAUUCGGUAUGCUGUUAAUUUAGUGGUGGUUAGUUCUGCUUGUUUUUUAGUGGUAAUGGUGUUGGUAUCUGGAUGUAAUCAAUUUGUUUUAUGCAAUAAUCGAUGAUCUUUGUUUUGCUUCAGUCAUAAUUAAGACGGUCAAGUGUGACCGUUUCUAGUACUUGAUAGAUCAAAUGCUCUUGAUCAUUUCGUUUGAAUUUUCUUUGCGUGUUUUACCGUGUGUGAUGAUCUCUUGGAGAUUGUAAUAUGAUUAUACAUAAUGAAUACAUGAUUGUUUUUCCGUAUGGAAUACUCAUGACAGUGGUCGGAAUAGAUAAUAAACAAUCAAAUCUGGAGGUUUGAAAUUAAACUCAUUUCUGAAUAGAGCAAUAUCAGUGUUAGUCCUGGUAUACCUGAAUUCAGUCAAUUUCUUUCAGGUAUUCGUUGUAUAUUUUUGUUUUGCUUCACUAAUAAGAUCAUUUGAGCUGUCGAUAUAUUGAUUAGCCAAAACUAGCUACACAUGCUCAAGUGUGACCGUUUCUAUUACUUGAUCGAUCAAAUGCUCUAGAUCAUUUCUUUGAUCUUUGGUAAUUAAAUGAUUGAUUUUCCACACGACACGAGUAACAGUGGUUGCAGCAGAUGAUGACUGAUGCUGUUAAUACAUUGCUUUCAAUAAUUAAGGCUAGACACAGAACAGUUGACUUCCCAAACACUUAAAUCUCUGUAGCAAAAUAUUAUAAGCAACCACAAACUAAUCAAAAGUGUCACGAGUCCGUUCAUGGUAAUAGUUAUGAUUUCUGUGGGUUUUUUUUACCAGGUGAGAUUGGGGUGUAUCGAGAUUAAUUAGGGUAUAUUUAUUUUGUUCCCAUCCAAAAUGGUGUGUUAAGGGGUGUUUAAAAGAUUCUAAAAGACCAAUUCAUCCUUACUAUUUUCAACUAAAUUUAAACCUUGCCGACUAAAACUAAAACUAAAACCUAUCAAAAUAAUUUUCAAAAAUAUGGGUUUUGAGAUUGGGUAUGAUUUUAUACCCAAUCACAAAUCCUUUAUGAUUCAACAUUCUUACCAAACGUCGGCAUGGUAUUUUUUGGCAACCUUGCCGACUAAUAUUAGUCGUUAUCUUCCUAGAUUGAAUACUGUAACGACUUUUCAUUUCUGAAAUUAGCAUUUACAGGGUCGACACGGUAUUCAUCCUUAUACCUUGCCGACUAUAAUUUAGUUGGCAGGUUAUGUAAUUAACACCUUGCCGACUAAUCAUGUAUUUAUAACACCUUUCUUUGUAUGCCAAAAAUCCUAUAAUCGGCAGGGUAUUCUUUUGUCGACGUUGCCAACUAUAAGUUCGUCGGCAAAACCAACACUACAGGGGGUGUUGAAAACCAACACUACCGACAGCCUAACACCAAAUAGAAACAUGUUUAAUGGUGGUAAAAGCGAAGGGGAAUCACAUGAAUUACAAAUGUUUAACCUGUCCUGUUUAGCAAUUGCCACAAAUGCCUACUGCAUGGAAAAUAAAUUGGGAGAAGGGGGUUUUGGGCCAGUUUAUAAGGUAUGUUUGAUUAUUAUAAUAAUUGUGAUGAACUUUUGCACAUUUCUAUUUACUACAAUUUCUGUAUGGGCAUUGGAGUAUGGUUUAUAGGGCAAAUUAGAAAAUGGGCAGCAAAUUGCAGUGAAAAGACUUUCGAAAAGCUCUGGACAGGGUAUUGAAGAGUUCAAAAAUGAGGUUAUGUUGAUUCCCAAACUUCAGCACCGUAACCUUGUGAAGUUGCUCGGUUGCUGCAUAGAAGGAGAAGAGAACAUGUUAAUAUAUGAGUUCAUGCCCAACUCUUAAUAAAUAUUAAGAGUUAUUCAUCGAGAUCUCAAAGUCAUUAACAUUCUCUUGGAUGAAGACAUGACCCUAAAAAUUUCAGACUUUGGGAUGGCAAGGAUAUUUGGUGGGAAACAAACUAUCGAUAAUACUAACCGGGUCGUUGGUACAUUUGGUUAUAUGUCUCCGGAGUACGUAAUGGGAGGGACAUUUUCGGAGAAGUCUGAUGUCUUCAGUUUUGGAGUGUAAUUAGUGCUUGAACUUGUAAGUGGCAAGAGAAAUAACAGCUUCUACAGUUCCGAACAACCUUCAAACCUUCUUCUUCAUGCUUGGGGUCUUUGAAAUGAAGGAAAAUGGUCAGAUAUUGUCGAUGAGGAUUUGGGUGAUCUAGGUUCUCCUUUCGAAGUGAUGAAAUGCAUACAUAUUGGUCUGCUAUGUUGUCAGAAUAGAGCAGUAGAUAGGCCGACCAUGGCUGAAAUGGAUCUCAUGCUUAACUGUGAUAUUGAUCGUCCAUCUCCCAAAGAACUUUUCAGAUAAUCCUGGUAACUCCUCAAGUCACAUUUGAAGGUCGAUAGGGUUUUUUUCUUUUACUUUUCCCUUUUUUUCCGAACAAACUCACAAGGAGGAUUA